CAAUAGCGUAUAUUAAAGUUGUUGCGUUAAAAGGUCAAUCGUAGUUGGAUUUCUGUCGGUGAAUAUCAGUCCGCCCACAGCGGUAGGUACGUGAUAUUUCACCGGCAUCUUCCUGGGGAAUGUGUCUGCUCUUUAUUGAGUGGUACAUAAGCCAGGACUUUUACUUUGAAGAAAUGAGAGUGUUUCAAGCAGGCAUGCGCCGUGAAUACGUUAGCAUGGGAUAAUAGCAUCGGACCUCGUUCCAAAGCUGUUGGUUUCUUGGACCGAGGUAAAGGUGAAUAGGGAUUGUUGGGGCAGUCGUAUUUUGACUGUCAGAGGUGAAAUUCUUGGAUUUUGUUGAAGACGGACUACUGCGAAAGCAUCUGCCAAAGAUGUUCUCAUUGAUCAAGAACGAAAGUUAGGUGAUCGAAGACGAUCAGAUACCA
rnacentral:rRNA from 1 species